CGACUUCUCGCCCUCGACUUCUCGCUCCCUCGUGUUCUCGCCUUUGAAAAACCUCGACUUCUCGCUCCCUCGCUCCCUCGCCUUUGGGUCAAUCUCGUCCUCUCGUGUUCUCGCUCCCUCGCUUCGUCACAAUCUCGACUUCUCGUCCUCUCGUGUUCUCGCCUCGGAAGUGCAGUUUAUAACGCAUGUCCACUGACUACCGUAUCGGCAUUUGUAUUCAGUCUGGUAUUUUCAUUCAAAGUCAAAGCCGAUGGAAGCUCUAGCGAUCAACAAAAUUCUCAAUGAUUUGGGCUUAAUCCAUCUCUUAGAUGUAUUUACUGACAAUUCCGUUGGCCCUCCAGAAGUUCUAACAUUAACCGAUUCAGAAUUUAAUUUCCUUGGUGUGAGUGCUAUUGGGGACCGUGCUAGGUUGAGACAGAGAUGUAGAACAUAUUUGAAUGGUCAGUGUGAAUCGCCAUCUUUAAAGAAAUUCAAAGAGCUAUCAGAAAAGAAAAAAACACAGAAUAACAACAAGUUCAAGUCCAAUGGUAGAUUAUAUACUGGGUGGAAGUUAUCUACAGGACAGAGUUUUAAACUAGUU